UAAAGUUGAGUACUACAAUAUGAGUGGCAAAGUACAGACCUAUAACCGUAUUUCAAAUAGGCAUAAGAUGGAGAAUAUAUACCCUCCAGGAGUGUCACCUCCUUGAUGGUUCCAACAAAUUGAUAUCAUUGUUUGACUACUUCUGUAAGAAAUAUAAUGUUCCAAUAAAUUGGUAUCCAGAUUUAAUUUGACUACUUCUCUAAAAAACUUACUACAUAUAGUGUGUAGACACUUGAAAUCUGGAAAUCGCAAGAUCCUCCUCAUCCCCGAAAAUCGUGAGAUCCUCUUCGUCCUUGGAACGCCUCACCGGUGUAUCAUCUACACACCAUGGGUCGCGGUCGGCGGUUCCCAAUCUGUUGGAAGAAAGGCGGCCAUGGUGAGCUCGCCAUGUACUUUAAGCGGCUCCACUUUUCACAUCAUGUCAUGAAAUAUCAUUGUCGAUUGGGGGAAAUCCAUUAGAAUCUCGGCUAUCUCAUUUCUUCUUUCAGCCACAUCUCACAUAAACCAAAGCUUCAGAAUUAGAGUAUUGCAUGGAUUUUUAAACUCAGUAAACUAUGUAGAAAUGGUACGAUGAGAACAGAGCAGUAAAGUGAUCACCUUAGAAAGUUCCUGACUAAUGUCAGUUUUUUCAUAACCAAAAGCACCAGGAAUAGCACCAUGUUCCUCCGAAAACUAAGGGGAGCAAUGCAUCACGCACAUGCUGGAACCAUUUCAACAUAGGUAAGAUUGAGAUUUAAUGGCGUCGGAAGGAAAUGAUAAAACAACAUCUGGAAAUUUUGGUCAUGCAGGAAGAGAAACCAUG
rnacentral:lncRNA from 1 species